ACAAUAAGCAAAAUAAGGGCGUAUGGGGAAUGCCUAGGCUCUCAGAGGCGAAGAAGGACGUGAUAAGCUGCGAAAAGCUGCGGGGAUCGGCACAUACGAAUUGAUCCGCAGAUAUCCCAAUGGGGCAACCCACUAUGUUGAAGACAUAGUAUCCGAUAGGAGGCGAACCCGCUGAACUGAAACAUCUAAGUAGGCGGAGGAGAAGAAAACAAAAGUGAUUGCGUAAGUAGUGGCGAGCGAAAGCGCAUUAGCCCAAACCGUUGUUGUUACGGCAAUAACGGGGUUGUAGGACCACAAUAUUUCUUGUAAACUGAAUUAGAAUAACCUGGAAAGGUUAACCCAAGAGGGUGAUAGUCCCGUAUAAGUAAAGAAUAUAAAGAAUAGUGUUAUCCUGAGUAGGGCGGGGCACGUGAAACCCUGUCUGAAUCUGGCGGGACCAUCCGCUAAGGCUAAAUACUCCUGAGAGACCGAUAGUGAACCAGUACCGUGAGGGAAAGGUGAAAAGAACCGUGAAUAACGGAGUGAAAUAGAACCUGAAACCAUACGCCUACAAGCGGUCGGAGCAGAAUAAUCUGUGACGGCGUGCCUUUUGCAUAAUGAGCCUACGAGUUACCGUUGCUGGCAAGGUUAAGUGAUUAAGUCACGGAUCCGUAGCGAAAGCGAGUCUGAAUAGGGCGCGAUUCAAUCUAAGGGAUUGAAGGCGUAUUUAUACGCUUAAGUCAGUAGUGGUAGACGCGAAACCGUGUGAUCUACCCAUGGACAGGAUGAAGCUUUGUUAACCCAAAGUGGAGGUCCGAACCCGUUGACGUUGAAAAGUCUUGGGAUGAUCUGUGGGUAGGGGUGAAAGGCCAAUCAAACUCGGAAAUAGCUCGUACUCCCCGAAAUGCAUUUAGGUGCAGCGCUCAAGUUAAGUUAUAUAGAGGUAGAGCUACUGAUUGGAUGCGGGGGCUUCACCGCCUACCAAUUCCUGACAAACUCCGAAUGCUAUAUAAUAUAUUGAGCAGUGAGGGCUUGGGUGCUAAGGUCCAAGUCCGAGAGGGAAAGAACCCAGACCAUCAGCUAAGGUCCCCAAAUGUAUGCUAAGUUGAACAAACGCGGUUUGAUUGCAUCGACAGCUAGGAUGUUGGCUUGGAAGCAGCCAUUCAUUUAAAGAGUGCGUAACAGCUCACUAGUCGAGCGAUCGAGCAUGGAUAAUAAUCGGGCAUAAGUAUACUACCGAAGCUAUGGAUUUGUAUAUAUAUACAAUUGGUAGGGGAGCAUUCUAACAUCGCUGAAGGUAUCUCGUGAGAGUUGCUGGAGAGGUUAGAAAAGAAAAUGUAGGCAUAAGUAACGAUAAGGGGUGCGAGAAAC
rnacentral:rRNA from 1 species